GUUCGGUCCCUAUCUGUCGUGGGCGUAGGAUAUUUGCAAGGAGCUGUCCCUAGUACGAGAGGACCGGGAUGGACGUACCUCUGGCGCACCAGUUGUCGGGCCUACCGGCACAGCUGGGCAACUAAGUACGGAACGGAUAAACGCUGAAGGCAUCUAAGCGUGAAGCCGCCCUUAAGAUAAGAUAUCCCACUGAGUAAUCAGGUAAGACCCCUUAGAGACGAUGAGGUAGAUAGGCUUCGGGUGUAAGUACGGUGACGUAUUGAGCCGGGAAGUACUAAUCGGUCGAGGGCUUGACCUC
rnacentral:rRNA from 1 species